CCUACGGGGUGCAGCAGUGAGGAAUAUUGGUCAAUGGUCGGGAGACUGAACCAGCCAAGCCGCGUGAGGGAGGAAGGUACAGAGUAUCGUAAACCUCUUUUGUCAGGGAACAAAGACUGGGACGCGUCCCCGGAUGAGUGUACCUGAAGAAAAAGCAUCGGCUAACUCCGUGCCAGCAGCCGCGGUAAUACGGAGGAUGCGAGCGUUAUCCGGAUCUAUUGGGUUUAAAGGGUGCGCAGGCGGGCUGUUAAGUCAGCGGUCAAAGCCCGGGGCUCAACCCCGGCCCGCCGUUGAAACUGGCAGUCUCAAGUUGGAGAGAAGUAUGCGGAAUGCGCGGUGUAGCGGUGAAAUGCAUAGAUAUCGCGCAGAACUCCGAUUGCGAAGGCAGCAUGCCGGCUCCACACGGAGGGGGAGGGGGGGGAGCGGGGGUAUCGAGCGGGAGUGG
rnacentral:rRNA from 1 species